rnacentral:lncRNA from 1 species
UGAUAUUGCUAGUCAUAUAGCAAUUAAAUAAUUAAACAUAUCAGAAAGUUUCCCUCUUCGCCCCCUUUGUUAUUGUCCAUGUACCCGAACCCAAGGUGUACGCGUGCGCAGGUAUAUUGAUCUUUCAUGAACUUGGCUUCGAUUCUAAUGAACUAAUGAUGCGUUAAAGCAUUUGAUGUACUUUUAAAGACUCAUAACUGUGCAAAUUUUAGUGUUCCAAAUUGCUUUCCAUGCGUAUGUUGAAUGUCUCGGUGAUUCUCAUCGUCAAAGUUCUCCGGGCAUGAGGACUGGGUUGUAUAUGCAGCAUCUAUUCAAGCUUCAAAGUAGCGCGGCACAAUGACUGUAAGGUAAACCAAGCAAUAGACAAGGAUUGAAAAGAUGGUGAUUUUCUGCUACUGUUGUUAUUGAACAUUUAAUUUGGUUAGACACUCUUAAGCUUUUCCUGCUUUUUCGUAAGGCUAAUCCCAAAACUUAUUUCGAUUUCCUGUCAAUUCCAUGGAAAUAGCCUCUCGUUCUAGUUCCAAAUUAUCUGAGUGCCAAAUUUUUUGAAGUUCUCUGUGUUGUUCUGAGCACUAGUAGCUUAAUCCGAUGCAUGGUAUUUGUACAGCCUAUCUUCCUUUGACUUUUACAUUGUCAUGUCUCUAUUAGAUGUAAACACAUCGCAGCGCUAACUAAUUCAGAGGUUUUUAUAUGACAAUAGCUACCCUGUUAUAAUGAAAAGUAUAUUGUGCUAAUUUCUAAAUAUCAAGGAGUAAAUAAAAAAUAUAGUGUAAUAGCAUUCAAUUAGUGAUAGAAGGAAUUUGUUAUUUGAAAAGCAAUCAAAACAUCUGAGGCUGCGACUGCCCAACUUUUAGAAACUAAUGCUACUGACAAUUAUCUCUGCUAAGAUCCCUCCUCUCUUACCCUCUUCUUAUUUUUGGCAUUUGAAGAACACUGAACAACUAUAGCUGGGCUUCUUACGGUGUGUUGUCAUUUUUGCCUCUCUGGUCAUCAGGCUCUGUUGAUCUGUACUUGUAGCGAGUAGCCCAGAGGAGAUAAUGUAGGAAAUUUAACCCACUUAAUAUGCACAUCAACCAAUAAAACCUUUCAAGGUGAUAAUGAUUCAAAUUACUCCCGUAGAGCCAUGGCGUUCGCUGAAACCUACCAGUUAUAUGGUUUACUAUUGAUACGAUCACUGAACUAAGGUAAUAACCCAUGGCUAGUGAUGCCCAAGAGACUGCUGUUGCCAAUGACCUCAUGCUUAAGGGGGCCUCUGUGAAGAAGAACUCCAUCAAGCCAGCCAAGCUGAAGAGAUCAGCUGAUCCCAGGAACAGAUAUUGCAAUGCUACCCAAAGAAAUGUUAUAGGUAGUGGUUCAGUUGAAUUCAUUAAGCCAGAUUGCGCUGCCACUCUCUUCCGCUUCAUCUCCACUAGAGCUGCAACAGUCAUGGCUACAAUUGAUAGGAAUAGCCCGGUUCCGAUUCUCUGUAGAUGAGUAAUGCCCAUUUCACUCUUAGUCGCUGCCCUGGCGAAGGGGAUUAUAAUAUGAUUAUAUACUGGUGCCAGUAUCAUGGUGAAUAUGACUGGAAAUAUUGGAAGAGAAGCUGGUGGAACUUUUAGAGCACCAAUAUAUGUGUUCAUGGUGGCUGCUUGUUGUAUAGAAAAUGUUGAAAGCUGAGCCAAGCAACAGUUCAGCAUAACGGUUGACAUAAAUAUUGGCAAGAUCUUGACGACUGUUUUCACCUCUUCUACUUGUGUGACUGUGCAGUGAAGUGAUGGGUAGGCUGCUUUGUUCAUUGUUGAUUUAUCGAUGAACUUCUGGUCCUUCAUUUCACUCUGAAUUUCUUCCUUCCAUUCCCCGUGUCCUUCUUCUUCGUGACUUAUCUCAGUUUUGUUUUGGGGGGAUUUCCUCGUGUCUAACACAUUAUUGAUAGAAUUCUUAGGAAAAAGAGAGUUGCAAAAUGCUGCUACUAGAACCUGUUGAAACAAUUCAAUGAAGAUUACUCUAUUUUAGUAUGCUGGUACAGGAUGCAGGCAACUAGAAGUCUAGAACAUACCUUAAAAAUGGUUGUAAAUGGGCUUCCUUUGGGAACUUUGAUCCUGUAAGUCCCAGAUCCAAAGAGGAAAAUGGCAAUUGAGCUCAAUAUUGCUACGGUUGAGAUACCAAAACCCCACUGCCAGCCUUUAUUAUCUUCUACCCAUACUACUAAUGUCACUGCAAUCAAUGCUCCACAAGAGAGGCAGAAGAUGUAAUAAUUGAAGAAGGUAGAUCUGUGCUUCCUUCCUUGUGGCGAAUUCUCAUCGAAUUGCUCCGCUCCAUGUGCAGGAAGUGAACCUUUUAUCCCUCCAACACCCAAGGCCACCAGGUAGAGGCCACCAAAUAACAUUGCUGCUUGGCCACGACCAGCUUCGUUACAGGAGGUGUUUCUGUUUAUGGAUGCACAGAUAGGCGGCCUCAGGGAAGGUAUGCGAGCUUGAAAUGUGAGCAUCAAUAGUCCCUGUUCCAAUAGUUUUGAUUAUUAACAAUUCAUGUGACAUGGCGUCCUGCUAUGUUAUCAUCUUCUGAGUGGUUAUCUUUCAUGUCUCCGAAAGGAGAAAGGCUAUGUGUCGUGUUUUCUUUACCAUGCUAACUAAGAACUAAAGAAGCAGAAUGUUUGUCAUCGUGUUAGGAAGCAUAGGUACUUCCUUUUAAGAACCAUACAGUUGUCCCUGCAAAACUAUUAUGUCCAUACACAAAGCCCAUCUUUUUCUGGGUCAGAGAAAAGCCAUGGACAGUUCUUUAUAGAAGUCUUGAUCACUUGAGAAUUUUAUCUGGUGAAGUCGGAUGAAACGGACUUUGGUCAGGUGCUCAAUACCUAUCUUAAGUUGUGCUUUUUGUUACUGUAUUUCUGUAUAUUGAGCAGCUCAUUAUUUGAGCUUUCAUUAUUUCUCCAUGAAAGCUAAAGCAACAAUUUAUUACCAGUAUGUCUUUUUCAUUUUAAAAUAACCUGAAAAUGAGCUGCACCGAUUUAUGUACCAUAGGUCAUCAACGGGGUGAUUGUGCUGGGUCCCAUUUUUCUCAUUCCUGAUAUCUAAUUGGACAGAACGAACUCAAGACAUGUGAAGUUUGAUGUACAAACAUUUGUUCUUCUAUAAAUAAUCUUUGUUUCUACUAUGCUACUGACCCACAGGUUAUUAAAUGGCAUGAAUAGAAAUAUACAUGAUGUGGGGUAAGUAAAGUAAUGAAGUGAGUCUUAUGCUUGCUACUAUUGUUAGUGUGUGUUUGCUAGUAUUCUUAGUGUAUUCAUGACAAUAAUAUGAGUGUGGCAUUACUGAUUCUUCCACAGACGACCUCAUAUAUCCUUAUAACACUAUCUUAUGGACUAGCUGGUAAUUGCAUUGAAUUCUGCUAUCUCAAAUGCAGACCUAAAAGAGCUGACUGUUUUUCUCAUAUUGCUGCAAUGGUAAGACGAUGCACGCCUGCUAAUGAUAUCCUAUUCCUUUUGUCCAGUUUCCUGUGAUUGUUAUUAAGGUCCAGAUUGGCAGGUGUAGGAAGGUGUACUCUAUCUACAUAUGCUUUUGGAUAGUAGCAGACUAUACAAUGCUAGGAAAACAUUGAUCUCAAAGAGAUUCAACAAGUGUUAUGUGGUUAGUGCAUGUUAUUGAACAAAUGAUAAUCUCAAAGACACAGAUUACUUACCAUAAAUUCAAUUGCUGCACUAAUCAGAUAGAUGUAAUAGGUGGUGAGGCAAGCAUCAGAUGAAAACCCGCCAAGUAGAGCGAGAAGGAAGGAAGUUCCCAUAAAGUUGGUAACUAUGUUGGCUGAAGCAGAUGGAGAAAAAUUCAUAUUUUUUGAUAGAUAAAGGACUAGAUUGCUCGCAGUUGCCAGGUAUGCUAAGUUCUCUAAAAUCUCCACCACUACGUCCACAAUUGAAAAAAUUCAGAUUGUCAGUUGUUACAAUCUAUAAUUUACCUUAAUAAAUAAAUUUAGCCAGCUUAUAAGUACUAAUUCAUGAAGUUCAUUGCUGUAGCAUUAGAAGCUAACAUAGUGUAUGGGAUUCAAAUUGUAAUGAAAGCAACAUGUGCAUGAGGAGAGGUGGUUUACUGACCCAACACAAAAGAGGCGGC